rnacentral:rRNA from 1 species
GGUGGUUCUGCGUGGAAGGGCCAUCGCUCAACGGAUAAAAGCUACCCUGGGGAUAACAGGCUUAUCUCCCCCAAGAGUCCACAUCGACGGGGAGGUUUGGCACCUCGAUGUCGGCUCAUCACAUCCUGGGGCUGUAGUAGGUCCCAAGGGUUGGGCUGUUCGCCCAUUAAAGUGGUACGCGAGCUGGGUUCAGAACGUCGUGAGACAGUUCGGUCCCUAUCCGUCGCAGGCGUAGGAAAUUUGAGAAGACCUGUCCUUAGUACGAGAGGACCGGGAUGGACGUACCUCUGGUGUACCAGUUGUCCUGCCAAGGGCAUGGCUGGGUAGCUAUGUACGGAAUGGAUAAGCGCUGAAAGCAUCUAAGCGCGAAGCCAACUUCAAGAUAAGAUUUCCCACCGCAAGGGUAAGACCCCAGAAAGACUAUCUGGUUGAUAGGUCGAAGGUGUAAGUGCAGCAAUGUAUUUAGCUUAUCGAUACUAAUAGGUCGAGGACUUGACCAAU